UACGAAGGGGGCUAGCGUUGCUCGGAAUCACUGGGCGUAAAGGGCUCGUAGGUCGCCAACUAAGUCAGACGUGAAAUCCCUCGGCUUAACCGGGGAACUGCGUCUGAUACUGGAUGGCUUGAGUUUGGGAGAGGGACGCGGAAUUCCAGGUGUAGCGGUGAAAUGCGUAGAUAUCUGGAGGAACACCCGUGGCGAAAGCGGCUCUCUGGGACGGUACUGACGCUGAGACGCGAAAGCGUGGGGAGCGAACAGG
rnacentral:rRNA from 1 species